UUGACGAGCAUUUCCUCAGUGAGUGGAAGAGGUUUGUUUGAAACAGACCGCAAUGGAGAGACCAGCGCCCAGGGAAGCGAGGGUGCAGCAGGCUCCUUCCAGCAGCACAUCGAGAUGAACAAGACAAUGUAAUAUUUGCUCAGUACAAAGCCAAGGGUGACCAGCUGCUCCUAACAAACAGCAG